rnacentral:lncRNA from 1 species
UUGAUACAGUUUUAUUAAUCUUCCAGGACUAUUGCAAAAAUCCAAUUUACCCUCUCAUGACUGACAUGGUGCCACAUAGGAUGUCUGAUGUGGUGCCACAUCAGCUAAACCCCUCAGAACUUUUUGAUAAUGGGAGUCUAAAAAAAUCUGAUUUUCUAGGCACAUCGAACUUGUGCAAUAAUUUUGUUUGAGCAAAACUUGUGCAAUAAUUAGGAGAGGUUAGAUGGAAUUUUCCCCUUCUAUAUGUAUUACUAGGUAGCGUGCCCGUGCGUUGCUACGGAAUAAUUAAUAAUUUAUCUUAAAAGCACACAGAUCGCAUAAUAAAAUAAUAAUAAUAUACCAAUAUUAAAGUGACAUUUAAUCCCAAAAAACAAAGUUUGUGAAAUUAACUAUGGAGAAUGUUAAAGUGAUAUUUAAUCUAAAAAUGAAGUUUAUGUAAUUAACAGUCACAGAGAGUGUCGCAAAUUCUACUUUAUAGACUUUGUAACCAUAAAUCAAUGAAUCACCGUAGAAGAACCUCACCUUGAAAAUCAUGGGCUUGAUUACAAAUAGGACUUAAUACCAUUUCACUGAAAUUAGUAGCGGUCACUCCGUCUAUGAGCAAAAAAUAAAAUAAAAUAAAAUAAAAUAGAUUGAAGAUUCACAGAAAAGAGAGAUACAAACUUACAAGAUCAAACUCAUAUUGUUGAAUGCAAAUUGUGCUCCAAGAAAUACGAUAUGCAGAGUGUCAGCAGGUGAGGCCAGAGCGCUUGUUGUAUUCGAAACUCACGAUUUCUCCACCAGUGCCAACUAUCCCAAGAAUAGUGACAUGAUUCCACGAUGACCUAUUGUCUGGUACAUCCUAAAACAGCAAGAUAUGUAAUGUCAGCAAAAAAGAAAAUUAAUUAUAGGGAGAAGAUUUGGAGAUAGGGACUCACCUGUCACCAUGGCUAGGAUGUAAAAGAUGAGUAACUGCAGUUAGGAUCUCAUGUGCUCCUAUAGGGGACAGCUGUUGAUAUUUGGGAACGCAAUAAGGAAUUGAUCCGCAAGCGCACGGAUAUCGGUGAGCAUUUCACCCGGGAGGUUAUCCAGAGUAUCGUAUUUAUUUUUUUACCACUAGGAGAAAGAGUGCAUCUGACUAACCGGUCUAUUACUACUAACCCUUUAGGCAACAAAGAAUGUCUCUCGAUGUGAGUGAUAAAUAGAGAAGACUGCAACCGUAGUCUCCUUCUAACCUUGGUAAGGAUGAUCUACUGUUCUAUUGGGGAGGCUAACGGAAUCUAGACACCUCAAAGGAUGUUCAACCCGCACCUAUAAACCCUAUCCUUCCUGCUAACGAGAUAUGGUCUGCAAAGGUAACUCGGAAUUGUCACGUUCCUCACUACUACCACGGUCUAGCUAGUCAGGGAAUAUCUAUGAGUACCCCAGCCUAAACACCAUGUUUACGCCAGCAAUGAUUACUCUAAACUCUACGCGAAGAGAUUAAAGUAAACUUAUAAACCAGAAGAACAAUAAAACAAGAACUUACUAGAAUUUAGAAGUCGAAAUACUGAAGAAUCCUAAGAGCAAGCUUCGGGUUAGGAGAACUUGAUCCCGC